rnacentral:rRNA from 1 species
AUUGAACGCUGGCGGCAGGCCUACCACAUGCAAGUCGAACGAGUGGCGGACGGGUGAGUACUGUCUGGGACACUGCCUGAUGGCGGGGGCUGACUACUGGAAACGGUAGCUAAUACCGCAUACCAUCGGAUGUGCCCCGAUGGGCUUAGCUUGUUGGUGGGGUAACGGCUCACCAAGGCCACGAUCCCUAGCUGGUCUUAGAGGAUGACCAGCCACAAUGGAACUGAGACACGGGCCAGACUCCUACGGGAGGCAGCAGUGGGGAAGAUUGCACAAUGGGCGAAAGCCUGAUGCAGCCAGGCCGCGUGUAUGAAGAAGGCCGUCGGGUUGUAAAGUACUUUCAGCGGGGAGGCGUUACCCGCAGAAGAAGCACCGGCUAACUCCGUGCCAGCAGCCGCGGUAAUAC